rnacentral:rRNA from 1 species
AUGGGCACCCUCGUCGGCCACGUCGCUCCGGGCGCCGGCUUCCUCCUCAUCGGGCUGUGGCAGCUGUUCAACCACAUCCGGCUGUUCGCGCUGCGGCCCGGCUCCUACGCGGCGCCGCUCUGGUUCCCCGCGCGCGGCGUCCGCCACCUCGAGCUCAUCCUCAUCAUCGCCGGCACGUCGGCGUCCAUCCUGAUGGAGCUCGUCAUCGGCCCCGCGAAGCACCAGCCGUUGGACGACGACGGCACCAUCCCGUCCGACCACCUCCACAACUUCGAGCACGCGUCCGUCUCGCUCGCCCUCCUCGCCUUCGCCGCGGUCACCAUCCACAUGGACAGGGUCCGGGCGCCGAUGCGGGACGCCGUGUCGCAGCUGGCCGCCGCGGCGGCGUUCGCGCAGGAGCUGCUCGUCUUCCACCUCCACUCCACGGACCACAUGGGCGUGGAGGGGCAGUUCCACUGGCUGCUGCAGACCGUCGUCGCCGUCACGCUGGCCACCACGCUGCUGGGCAUUCCGUACCCGCGGAGCUUUGUGGUGAGCCUGGUCAGGUCGGCGAGCCUCGUGCUCCAGGGCGUGUGGUUGAUCGUCAUGGGCGUCAUGCUCUGGACGCCGGGGCUCGUCCCCAAGGGGUGCUUCCUGAAUCACGAGGACGGCCACGACGUGGUCCGGUGCCGCACCGACGAGGCGCUCCAUCGCGCCAAGGCGCUGGUGAACCUGCAGUUCAGCUGGUACCUGACGGGCACCAUGGUGUUCGUCGUCGUGCUCUACCUCCAGGUCAGCAGGCUGUACCCCGAGGAGCCGCAGUACUUGCCGCUGGUCAAGGGAGGACCCUCCGGCGGCCGGUUCAGCGUCGGGGACGAUGACGAGGACGAUGACGACGAGGAUGACCUGGAGGCCGCGGAAAGUACUUACGGGCACAUGGUCAGCGGCACAAAGCCCAUGGAGAUAGAGAGGUAA